CAUUUUUAUUUCGGGGCAUUUUAUAGCUGACUAUGCGGUAUGGGCUUUGCUCAUUGUUGACGACCGUACGGUGACCUAUAGUGGGUAAUUUCUGUGUCACUUUGGUCUCUUGCGGAGAGUUGUUUCUUAGGCAAUCAUACCACACCUUCAUUUUUAUAUCUAUUGUACACAUUUUGUUUUUGUCUCUGAUAUAGUCGCCUUAAAAGGGUUCCUUGAU
rnacentral:lncRNA from 1 species